rnacentral:rRNA from 1 species
GAUGAACGCUGGCGGCGCGCCUAACACAUGCAAGUCGAACGGUUAAAGCACCUUCGGGUGUGUAUAAAGUGGCGAACGGCUGAGUAACACGUGGGCAACCUGCCCCUCGCACCGGGAUAGCCUCGGGACACCGUGGUUAAUACCGGAUACGAAGCUCCUGCCGCAUGACGGGAGCUUGAAAGGCGCAAACAAGCGCCGCUGAGGGAUGGGCCUGCGUCCGAUUAGCUUGUUGGUGGGGUAACGGCCCACCAAGGCGACGAUCGGUAGCCGGUCUGAGAGGAUGAACGGCCACAUUGGGACUGAGACACGGCCCAGACUCCUACGGGAGGCAGCAGUGGGGAAUAUUGGGCAAUGGGCGCAAGCCUGACCCAGCGACGCCGCGUGAGGGAAGACAGCCUUCGGGUUGUAAACCUCUGUUGCAGGGGAAGAAGGAAGUGACGGUACCCUGCGAGGAAGCUCCGGCUAACUACGUG